CGACAAUCUCAUAUUUCUUUGAUCAAUAGAAGAUGGAAUAAUAGCUGAGGGUUUGUUGACUGAUGUUUCGUGGAUUUUUCUUUCUCACUCGUUUUGCACGAGGUCUUUGAUGAGAGUUAACUAACACUGCUGAAUCUUUCAUUAGAGAUACGAUAAGAAAAAAAUGAGUACAUUGGACGUAGCUAGAGCAGAGCUUGGCCUUGCGGUUCUGUAUUUGAACAAAGCCGAAGCCAGGGACAAGAUAUGCAGGGCAAUACAAUAUGGUUCAAAAUACUUGAGUAACCGGGAGCCUGGCACAGCCCAAAAUGUUGACAAAUCAACUAGCUUGGCACGGAAAGUGUUCCGUCUUUUCAAGUUUGUCAAUGAUCUGCACGCGCUCAUUAGUCCAACUUCUCCUGGAACACCCCUUCCCCUUGUUUUGCUGGGAAA